AUUGAACGCUGGCGGCAUGCCUUACACAUGCAAGUCGAACGGUAACGGGCCUUCGGGUGCCGACGAGUGGCGAACGGGUGAGUAAUAUAUCGGAACGUGCCCAGUAGUGGGGGAUAGCCCGGCGAAAGCCGGAUUAAUACCGCAUGAGACCUGAGGGUGAAAGCGGGGGACUCGCAAGGGCCUCGCGCUAUUGGAGCGGCCGAUACCAGAUUAGCUAGUUGGUGGGGUAAAGGCCUACCAAGGCAACGAUCUGUAGUUGGUCUGAGAGGACGACCAGCCACACUGGGACUGAGACACGGCCCAGACUCCUACGGGAGGCAGCAGUGGGGAAUUUUGGACAAUGGGCGCAAGCCUGAUCCAGCAAUGCCGCGUGCAGGAAGAAGGCCUUCGGGUUGUAAACUGCUUUUGUCAGGGAAGAAAUCUUCUGGGUUAAUACCUCGGGAGGAUGACGGUACCUGAAGAAUAAGCACCGGCUAACUACGUGCCAGCAGCCGCCGUAACAC
rnacentral:rRNA from 1 species